rnacentral:rRNA from 1 species
AUUGAACGCUGGCGGCAGGCCUAACACAUGCAAGUCGAGCGGAUGAAGGGAGCUUGCUCCUGGAUUCAGCGGCGGACGGGUGAGUAAUGCCUAGGAAUCUGCCUGGUAGUGGGGGAUAACGUCCGGAAACGGGCGCUAAUACCGCAUACGUCCUGAGGUAGAAAGUGGGGGAUCUUCGGACCUCACGCUAUCAGAUGAGCCUAGGUCGGAUUAGCUAGUUGGUGGGGUAAAGGCCUACCAAGGCGACGAUCCGUAACUGGUCUGAGAGGAUGAUCAGUCACACUGGAACUGAGACACGGUCCUGACUCCUACGGGAGGCAGCAGUGGGGAAUAUUGGACAAUGGGCGAAAGCCUGAUCCAGCCAUGCCGCGUGUGUGAAGAAGGUCUUCGGAUUGUAAAGCACUUUAAGUUGGGAGGAAGGGCAGUAAGUUAAUACCUUGCUGUUUUGACGUUACCAACAGAAUAAGCACCGGCUAACUUCGUG